UACGCACUUGUUCACUCUGUAAAACAGAAGUAUUUCAAAAGAAAUUACUUAAAUACAUAUAGUUGAAGUUUUUUUUGUCCAAUGGUCAGGUCCUAUGACCAAUCAUUAAGAUGAAUUAGGGUUGGCACAAUGACCUUUACUUAAUUGGGCAUGUGUGAGAUACUUGGCAAUAGAACUUGGUAUUUUAACAAGAAAAACAUGAAUCAAGGGGAUUAAUUCAACUUGUACCACCACAUCUGUCAAGUAUGAUUUCUUUCCCUUAUUCAAUACCAAACAAAAUAAUUAAUUACCAAUACUUAAUAAUUAACUCAUUCGUUAACCUUUUAAAUUGAUUCUUGUUUAGUGAAGUACAAAAACUUGAUCUGAGAUCGGGGGCAGUAGAAAUAACAUGUACAAACAUUUUACCAGAGUGAGUCUCAAAAUGAUUUUAAAUGAAGUCUUUGUUUGACAGCCACACACUAGCUGCUGCUGUGUGAGAAAUUCUUAUUGAUGAGUUUUAUUUUACUAGAGGCUUAUUUUCAACUCAUUAAAGUGUGUCAUUUGAUACCAUAUUAGUAAAGCGAUCAUCAGCUUUAAAUA
rnacentral:sRNA from 1 species